CUACGGGUGGCACCAGUGAGGAAUUUUGCGCAAUGGGCGAAAGCCUGACGCAGCAACGCCGCGUGAGUGAUGAAGGCCUUCGGGUCGUAAAGCUCUGUCAAGUGGGAAGAACCUAUGUAAUGUUAAUAUCAUUAUAUACUGACGGUACCACUGAAGGAAGCACCGGCUAACUCCGUGCCAGCAGCCGCGGUAAUACGGGGGGUGCAAGCGUUAUUCGGAAUCAUUGGGCGUAAAGGGCACGGAGGCGGCCUGGUAAGUCAGAUGUGAAAGCCCGGGGCUUAACCCCGGAAGUGCAUUUGAUACUGUCAGGCUUGAGUAUGGGAGAGGGGAGUGGAAUUCCUGGUGUAGAGGUGAAAUUCGUAGAUAUCAGGAGGAACACCGGUGGCGAAGGCGACUUCCUGGACCAAUACUGACGCUGAGAUGCGAAGGCGUGGGUAGCAAACAGGAUUAGAUACCCGUGUAGUC
rnacentral:rRNA from 1 species